GUGUUCCUCCAGUCACUCACCUCAAAAUCCAGCUUUACAACGCCUGCCACUUUGGUUCUUUGUGGAGGAUGAGCGUUACCAGUUGUUCCUGGCUUCCCUGCAGAAAAGAAAGAAGGUGUAUCAACCUUUGACAAUCACGCCACGUUCGAAACACCAGAGGCUUAUUCUCCCCAUAGGACGCCUAUAGAAAGGACAGCUGAAGUUUUGCUUUGAUAACAGAAAGGAUGGAUUUCUGAUGGAAGGAGAGUUCUGAAUACCACAUGGAUUGUGCAUGUAAGAAAAGUAGCCCUAUCAGAGAAAGAAUCAAACAAAGAGACUCUUACCUGUGAUACCAUUGUGCCCUGAUAAAAAGCAAAAUGCUUAAGACCCAUAAAAGAAGUGCACCUGUGUGCACUUCUUCUAGUGAAAUGAGUAUCCAAAGCAAGUUAAAGGAUGACGAUGGCUUCCGCUGUGGCUUGGGUCUCUGUGAUACCGUGGGGGUCUUCACAGCAAAGAGACACUGGCUCUACCUGAGGCUGCCUCAUGUUCCCGAUCAACACAGAAACACAGGUCUGUUUUUCCUUUGAAAUGACUGAUCCCUGGGAGGACUUUUUUCCCUUCAUAAUCCUCCCCUCGUCAGUAUCUUGGUCAUUUGUUUCCCAGUUUGUCUUCUCAAUGUGAAGCAAACAUCUGGGCUAGGAAGUGAAUUUCUCAUCAGAGCAGACUGAAAAUCAAGAAUUGCUCGCCACAGAUCACUCCUAGAUAAAAACCACAAGGUGGGCAAAGAGCGCUGGCCGCUCCUCCUUGUCCCACACCAGUGAUGGCUUAAGGAGGAUGUGGGUGGGGAAAGGACAGUGACCGGAAGAGAGGUCUGAGUGCGACUGACUGUCCCCCUCUGUUCACCAAAACGUCUACAUAAGGAAUGCUAGAUCACAGCCAGUGCAUCAGCGCUUUAAGCAUAGAUCGAAUGUUGAUGGUUAAAUAUUCUUCAAAAGGCAUACCUUAAAAUACAACAUGCAGGAUGACAAAACAAAUUGAAAGCCUAUAUUUGCUUGGAUAUUAAAUAAGAGCCCUUAAUCAUAAAUGAACCAUGUGAUUAAUUUGAAGGCAGAAGUACUAGGCAGAAGCCCAAUGCAAAAAGCGAAUUUCAAUAAAUUAGGCCUUGGAUAUCUAGCUUUUCAAAAGGCCUAUAUGUAAAAAUGAUAUAAUGGGUGUUUUCCCCUGAAAUACCAAUUUUUUGUUUUAUGAAAAAAUAAGACAAAUUUUCGUAACCAAUAAUAAAAGAAUGACAAUAGCUAGUGAGUUCUUAAGGUUCAGACAUAAUGAAAUUUUUUGAUGUCUACUGUCCUAAGAAAAUAUAGCAAAACAGAAAACCGUAACAGAUAAUUCUAAGAAUGUGGAAUAUGGCAAAAGAGUGAGGAAAAAAAGGAAAAACAAAGACAGUCAUAUAUUUAAAGUUUAUUUUAUUGUUUCAUCAAAAUGUUUCUUUUCCCUGUCAAAAAUUAUCAUACAUCUUAUACAAAACAGUAUAAAUAACCCUGAUUUUUUUCAAAUUCCAUAUAUAAAAGUAGUACCUUCUGUUAAAAAUAAUUACAACAUAUGGAAUGAGAAAAUAUAUAGAAUACAUCCUUUCAAGAAUCUUAAAUCCACACUCUUUAAAUAAAAGUGAUUUAUAACAA